ACAUGCCUACAACAUAGCGCUAAUGCAUUGUAUCCCAUUAGAACUCAACAGUUAAGUGUGCUCGGGUUAAAUUAGUACUGGGAUGGGUGACCAUCUGGGAAGUCCUAGUAUUUUACAUGCC
rnacentral:rRNA from 1 species